UACGAAGGGUGCAGACGUUGCUCGGAAUUAUUGGGCGUAAAGCGCACGUAGGCGGCUUAGCAAGUCGGAUGUGAAAUCCCUCGGCUCAACCAAGGAAGUGCAUCCGAAACUGCUGAGCUUGAGUACGAAAGAGGAUCGCGGAAUUCCCGGUGUAGAGGUGAAAUUCGUAGAUAUCGGGGGAACACCAGUGGCGAAGGCGGCGAUCUGGGUCGAUACUGACGCUGAGGUGCGAAAGCGUGGGGAGCAAACAGG
rnacentral:rRNA from 1 species